rnacentral:tRNA from 1 species
GAGCGUAUAGCUCAGUGGUAAGAGUGCCUGUUUAACAUGCACAAGGUCCUGGGUUCAAUCCUCAGUACUACCA